GCCCCGCCCCCUUCCUUAACUCUUGCCAGCUGUCAUCAGCUUCCCCUGCCAUAGUUACUUUCCAUGGACCCAGGAGUCCGGACACCCAGACCCUCAGCUCCCUCGCCGAGAAUGGAGGCAGAAAACCAAGGCCUCAGCCCCCUGUCAAAGCCCCCGGACCUGACUCCCGAGGAGCGGAUGGAGCUGGAGAACAUCCGGCGGCGGAAGCAGGAGCUGCUGGUGGAGAUCCAGCGCCUGCGGGAGGAGCUCAGCGAAGCCAUGAGCGAAGUCGAGGGGCUGGAGGCCAAUGAGGGCAGCAAGACCUUGCAGCGGAACCGGAAGAUGGCAAUGGGCAGGAAGAAGUUCAACAUGGACCCCAAAAAGGGGAUCCAGUUCCUGGUGGAGGAUGAACUUCUACAGAACACCCCCGAGGAGAUCGCCCGCUUCCUGUACAAGGGCGAAGGCCUGAACAAGACGGCCAUCGGGGACUACCUGGGGGAGAGGGAAGAGUUGAACCUGGCAGUGCUCCAUGCCUUUGUGGAUCUGCACGAGUUCACCGACCUCAAUCUGGUGCAGGCCCUCAGGCAAUUUCUCUGGAGCUUCCGCCUCCCUGGAGAGGCCCAGAAGAUCGACCGCAUGAUGGAAGCCUUUGCCCAGCGCUACUGCCUGUGCAACCCCGGGGUUUUCCAGUCCACAGACACGUGCUACGUGCUGUCCUUCGCUGUGAUCAUGCUGAACACCAGCCUCCACAACCCCAACGUCCGGGACAAGCCGGGCCUGGAGCGCUUCGUGGCCAUGAACCGGGGCAUCAACGAGGGCGGGGACCUGCCCGAGGAGCUGCUCAGGAACCUCUACGACAGCAUCCGAAAUGAGCCGUUCAAGAUUCCCGAGGACGACGGCAACGACCUGACUCACACCUUCUUCAACCCGGACCGGGAGGGCUGGCUCCUCAAGCUGGGUACGUCCCCUCCUGACUCUGCCUCUGCAGGGCGGGAGGCUGCUGGGCCCCGGGCUCUGGACUCAGCUUUCGCACCUGCCCACUGUGUGACCUUAGGCCAGUGAUUUGACCUCUCUGAACCUCCAGUCUCCACACCCAAAAAGACGAUCAGGCCUGCCGGGCACACGUUCAGGGCCCACUAACCCCUUCUGGCUGCCCGCCUAUCCUUCAGGAAGCCCUCCCCUAGGCCAGGCCCUGUUCCAGCCCUGAGGGCACAGUCGAGAUGCCAGCAGCAUGGUCCCCCUCUGGAGGAGGGUUCGCUCACGAUGCUCUCAGGGAGCAGAAAACAACCCAAGGGGCCAAGGCACCCAGGCGCCUCUUGGCUCACUUGGCGGGGAAUCAGGUUCCAGGCUAGACCCACUGGGAGACCAUCGAGUCUGCCCUCACCGUCUGCUGCCUCCUCAUCAGCCCAGCAGCAAGGUGGCUGCUCCAGAGGUAGUGUACCUGCCCAGAACACGGCCCAGGAGUUGUCACCUUAGCUCAGCAGAAACAAAUCUGACUGGUAUCCAUGAGGUUGCGUGUUUGAUCCCUGACCUUGCUCAGUGGGUUAAGGAUCCAGUGUUGCCAUGAGCUGUGUGUGUAGGUCACAGACGAGGCUCAGAUCUGGUGUUGCCGUGGCUGUGGUGUAGGCUGGCAGCUACACCUCCGAUUAGAUCCCUAGCUUGGGAACCUCCAUAUGCUGCAGGUUCGGCCUUAAGAAAAAAAAAAAAAAAAAAAAAGGCAGAACAUUACCCACAGGAGGCAGAAAAGAGCCUGCAGAGGGAGGAAACCUGGGCAGCCUGCCCCCUGGACCUCUCAGCUGGCUGGAUUGGUUCCUGGUGGGAAGGGGACUGCCCUGGCUGGCUCAGAUGAACCCAGAACACCAGAAUGGGGCAGAUGGGGCGGGGGUCCAUCCACCUUUAGAGAACGGGGCAUCAGCAAGUUCAAGGUCACUUAGCAGAGGUCCUGUAGGUGCAGUUGUCUGAGGAUUGGAGUGACUCUUAACCCUCGGCUGCCUGGAGAUUCCCCCUGGGAGCUCUGAAAACCGCAGUAACCAGGUCACAGACCCGUGAAGUCAGGCUUCUGUGCAGGACAGGCCAUCCGUCAUGUCCAAAGCUCCCCAGGGGUUCCAGUGCUGGCCAAGGUUGAGAGCUGCUGGCUCGGAGCUGUGUCUGGUAAUAGUUGGUCCCGCUGGGUUUUUAAUAGGGAAGCGGAGAACAGCUGUUUCAGGGAGGCAGAGACUCUGGUGAGGAAUUACCAUCCAGUGCAGGCAGUGGAGACUGUGAGCCUGGACAGUGAGGGGGUGGAGCGGGGGGGGGGAGCAGAGGAAGCUUCCAGCCCCAAGCAGGGGAUCAAAGCAGGGCUUUGCUCCCUUCAGGUCUCACCACCCACCCCUUUCAGCACCCUCUUCCCCCCAGCUGUGCUCUCAGAUUGAGGAAUCCCUUCUCUGGCAACGGGGGCAUAAAGAAUGCCAGUCACUCUUCCCAGGCCCCAUGCUGGCUGAUGAUCUAUCUGCAUCAGCUCCAGAGAGGCUCACGGGUCCGAGGGGUCUGGGGCCAGUUUCGAUUCUUCAAGGAAGGCCAAGUGGCGCCCCUGGUGGCGAGGGGGUGGAAAGAAAAGCAGGAGGGGCUGGUUCCCCUCCAGACCGCUCCUGUCAGCAGGAAUCCUUCCCAUUUCUUAGAUGAGGAAAUCGCAGCUCGGCCACUGUCCAGCGGCCCGCAGGGCAGAGGUGGCCUUAGAUCCAGAUCUCUGGCCAGGUCAUCACAAGGUCAUUAAAAAAAAAAAAAGCACCUCUUAAAACACUGAAAUAGGAAAGGGACUCGGUGGUGGUGGUCAUACCCACAAAGACGGUUAGUCAAAGUCGUUAUUGCUGCUGUUUAAUCCUUUGGGGACCACACGGAGCCCAGAAGCAGGUCACUUUGAAGCAGGAAGGUAUGGCCUGGAGUGUGUCUCCACAUUGGAGUCCAGAGAGGGCAAGUAGCUGUCCUAAGGUCACACAGCUGGUUUGUACUCCCCUGAAUGUGAGUCCCCCACACCCACCCUGACCCAAGGACUGGGGAGUUUUGUCUUCAGCUUUGUGGGGAUGACCUCCGGGUCGAGACCUCUUCACCUUGGCAGUGGAGGACCCCCCCCUUGGCCUCGGAUGCAUCCUGGGGAUUAAGCCGAUUGGCCUCAGUGCGGCUCCGGAUCCUUGGCCUUCCUGGGAGGGAGGGGUCCGGCAGGGGUCCCCCCUCAUGUGGAUGUAACUGGUUUUCUUCCCUCUCUCUCCCUCCCUCCCUGCCUCCCUCCCUGCCUGUCUCUCUGCUGUUCCUGUCUCUCUCUGGGCCACCCCCUGCGCACCCCUUCCCUCGCCCACCCUGCGGCUCGCGGGGCACCCCCUUCCUCCGCCUUCCCUUCUCGCCUGGUCCUGCCUGCUUUCUCGCUGUCUGCCCCAGGAGGGGGCCGGGUGAAGACGUGGAAGCGCCGCUGGUUUAUCCUCACUGACAACUGCCUCUACUACUUUGAAUACACUACGGACAAAGAGCCCCGAGGCAUCAUCCCGCUGGAGAAUCUGAGCAUCCGCGAAGUGGACGACCCCCGGAAACCAAACUGCUUCGAGCUGUACAUCCCCAACAACAAGGGGCAGCUAAUCAAAGCCUGCAAGACGGAGGCAGAUGGCCGGGUGGUCGAGGGCAACCACAUGGUGUACCGGAUCUCUGCCCCCACGCAGGAGGAGAAGGACGAGUGGAUCAAGUCCAUCCAGGCCGCCGUGAGCGUGGACCCCUUCUAUGAGAUGUUGGCAGCAAGGAAGAAGCGGAUUUCUGUCAAGAAGAAGCAGGAGCAGCCCUGACCCCCUGCCCCCAACUCCAUUAUUUAUUACGGAGCUGCCCCGCCCGGGUGGCCGGACCCCUGGGCCCCGGGGCUGCGGAUCCUGGUUCCCCGUUUGGAAGAUCCAUCAUCUCUAGCUCCUCUCUCGUUAUUUGUAAUUAACACGCCAUUGGUAAUAUUAAUUAUUUAACCACU